UCCCCGCGUCCUGCACCGCUCAAGUCUGCGCCAUGGACGACUUGCGGGUUCUGUGGAUGCGCGACCGAGUGUACACGACCUUCGGCCUCACCAACCCCAAACUGUUCGAGGACCUGCUGAGUCGCAACGACAGUGAGGCGGAGGACCUCAUCCUUCACUUCCUCAACCACGCAACGGACGAGGACUGCGCCUCCACGCUGUUCUUCUACCGCGUCCUGGUGCCCGAGGAGGUGGAGGUGGAGAUUGAAGAAAUUCCUGUGGUCUCUGAAGAGGAGGCAGAGGAAGAUGAGACUGAAUCUCAGAAAGAAGAGGGUCCCGAUAAGGUGACAAGCAAGAACUCGAAGCUGAGAAACGACUCCAUAGCGCCCUCCCUGUUUGAUAUGGAUGAUGAUGACUUCGACAGCGAGCACCCAGACAAACCAUCGGGCAAGAAGUUCGUGAAGCGCAUCAUCAACAGGCUGGACUUGCAUGUGAGCUGCACCCCCAUCCCAGAGGAGUUUCUGGAACAGACCGUGGUGUUCUUCCUCAGAAGCACAAAAGAGGCCAUCCCUGAAGCCAGCGACAUGAAGGAAGCAAUGGAAAUGAUGCCGGAGACCAUGGAGUACGGGAUCAUAAACUCUCAAGUGCUCCGCUUCCUGAGGGACGUCAUCUGCCAGGUUUUCAUGCCCGCGCUGUCGUUCAAUCAGCACAAGUCGGAGACGGGCCUGGGAACAGCUGCAGAAACCCAAGAGUCUUCUUACGACACGUCAGAGUUGCCCAGCAUAGCCGGGGAAACGGUGGAGUACCACAGCAUCCAGCUGAUACGCGAUGAGUUCCUAAUGAAUCUUCAGAAGUUUGCGAACAACAUCCUAAGGACCAUGCAGCAGCUGGAAGGUGAGAUCAAGCUGGAGAUGCCCAGCAUCAGUGUGGAGGGGGAAGUGUUCGAGCUGGUGGCCAGCACAGAAAUGGUGGAGUCUUUGGAGCAGUGUGUGAUCAACUGGCUGAGCCAGAUUUCAUCUGCUCUGGAGAGCCAGCUGAAGAAGACGCCCCAGGGCAAUGGUCCUCUGGCUGAAAUUGAGUUCUGGAGAGAAAGAAACGCAACGCUGAGCGCCCUCUAUGAGCAAACGAAGCUUCCGUUCGUUAGGAAGGUCUUGGAUGUGAUCAAGGAAGCUGAAUCCAUGCUCACGGCCAAUGUGCAGCCUGUCCUGACGGAGCUGUUCAAACUCCACAUGGAGGCCUCGGACAAUGUGCGCUUUCUGUCCACCGUGGAACGUCACUUCAAGAAUAUCACACACGGUUCCAACUUCCACGUGGUCCUGGACACCAUCCCAUCCAUGAUGAGCGCCCUCCGCAUGGUGUGGAUCAUCUCGAGACACUACAACAAGGACGAGAGGAUGAUCCCGCUCAUGGAGCGCAUCGCCUGGGAGAUCGCUGAGCGCGUGUGCAGAGUCAUCAACCUGCGCACCCUGUUCAAAGAAAACAGAGCGAACGCCCAGCACAAAACCCUGGAGGCCAGAAAUACUCUCAAGCUGUGGAAGAAAUCCUACUUCGACAUCCGGGCCAAGAUCGAGGCUUCUGGUCGGGAGGCACGGUGGGAGUUUGACCGCAAGCGGCUGUUUGAGAGAACAGACUACAUGGCCAACAUCUGCCAGGACCUUGCGGAUGUCCUGCAGGUCUUGGAGGAAUUUUACAACAUAUUUGGUCCAGAGCUCAAGGCUGUGACGGGGGAUCCCAAGCGGAUCGACGAUGUCCUUUGCAGGGUAGACAGUUUGGUCACCCCAAUGGAAAGCUUGAGCUUUGACCCCUUCAGCAUCAAGUCCUCUCCAUACUGGAAAUAUGUGAUGGAUGACUUCAAGCUUGAAGUUCUGGUUAUUGAGAAAGAAGCAAAAAAUUUUAUUGAUGACUCUUUCAAAACGCUCCGGUCGGCUGAAGCGGCCUUUGACAUGCUGUUAAAGUUUAAGCAUAUCCGCUCCCGGGAGGCCAUCAACCGGCAGAUGAUGAUGAAGUUUAAUGACAUUCUGGCCCAGUACUGCAAGGAGAUCGACAUCGUUAAUAAGAUCUUUGUGCAGAACCUGGACAACCCGCCGCUGUACAAGAAUCACCCUCCGGUGGCAGGCGCCAUCUGCUGGGAGCGCUCCCUCUUCUACAGGAUCAAGCAUACCAUCCUCAGGUUCCAGGAGGUCGAGGAACUCCUGGACAGUGAACGCGGCCAGGAGGUAAAGCAGAAGUACCUGGAGGUGGGCAGGACCAUGAAGGACUACGAAGACCGCAAGUACGAGCAGUGGAAGGAGAGCACCGAGCUGAGCCUCCCACACCUCAUGAAGAAGAGCCUUCUCACCAAGACCACCAUCACGGCUGAGGACGCGCCCCCUAUGGAAAAGGGAGCCGUGUUUGUCAUCAACUUCUCUCCGUUUCUCAGAGAGAUUAUUAAUGAAACCAAGUACUUAGAGCAGCUGGGAUUCACUGUCCCUGAACUGGCCAGGAACGUGGCCCUCCAAGAAGACAAAUUCCUCAGGUACACGGAAGGCAUCCAGCGCAUGCUGGACCAUUACCACCUGCUCAUCAACACGCUGAACGAGGCAGAGACGGCUCUCCUGGAUGACCACUCCCAGGAGCUGCUCAGGGUGUUCCGCUCUGGGUACAAGAGGCUGAACUGGAACUCACUAGGAAUCGCUGACUACAUCAAUCGCUGCAAACAGGCCAUCGGCAAGUUCGAGUCUCUCGUCCACCAGAUUCACAAGAAUGCGGAGGACAUCACCUCCAGGCUUACGCUAAUUGAGUCUGUCAACCUCUUUAGGUACCCAGUCUCCAAAACCGAGGAGGGGCUCCCAGGUGUGAAGGAAUUCUUCGAGCACAUCGAACGGGAAAGGGCCAAAGACGUGGACCACAUGGUCCGGUGGUACCUGGCCAUCGGACCACUGCUGACCAAAGUUGAAGGUCUAGUUGUGCAUACCAACACAGGCAGGGCCCCCAAACUGGCCUCCUACUACGAGUACUGGGAAGGCAGAAUCUAUGACGUCUUGGGGAAGCUCAUCCUGAGGAAUUUUCAGGCUUUCAACUCUCUGAUCCUCGGAAACGCUCCUCUGUUCCAAGCGGAAACCAUCCUGUCAGCUCCGGAGAUCAUCCUCCACCCCAACGCUACUGAGAUUGAUAAGAUGUGUGUCCACUGCACCCGCAACUGCGUGGAGAUCACCAAGUAUUUUGUGCGCUGGAUGAACGGCAGCUGCAUCGAGUGCCCCCCUCAGAAGGGCGAGGAGGAGGAAGUCAUCAUCCUGAGCUUCUACAAUGACAUCUCCUUGAACCCCCAGAUCAUGGAUCAAGCUGUUAUGAUCCCCCAAAAUAUCCACAGGCUCCUAGUGAACCUCAUGAAAUACCUGCAGAGGUGGAAGCGCUACCGGCCCCUCUGGAAGCUGGACAAGUCCAUCGUGAUGGAGAAGUUUGCAGCCAAGAAGCCAGCCUGUGUGGCCUACGACGAGAAGCUGCAGUUCUACUCCAAGAUCGCGGCGGACGUCAUGCGCCACCCGCUGGUCAAGGAUGAGAACUGCAUCCGGCUGCAGCUUGGGCCACUGGCCACCACUGUGCAAGAAAAUGCCAAGUCCUGGGUGAUUUCGCUGGGGAAGCUCCUCAACGAGUCCGCCAAGGAGGAGCUUUUUAGCCUCCGGGAUGAGAUCGAGCACCUGAACAAAAACCUUAAGAAGAGCCCCACCACGCUUGAAGAUCUCAAGUUUGUCCUGGCAACAAUUGCAGAGGUCAGGACAAAAUCUUUAGUCAUGGAGCUGAGGUACAAGGACGUCCAGGAGCGGUACCGCACCAUGGCGAUAUACAGCAUCUUUCCUACCGAAGCUGAGCGGGAACUGGUUGACAAGAUUGAGAGCAUGUGGCAGACUCUCUUCAGUGACUCUGUGAAUGUGGAACACGCGCUCGGAGGCAUCAAGAGAACAUUCACUGAGAUCACCCGGAGUGAGAUAAUGAACUACAGAAGCCAGCUGGAAGAGUUUGCACAGCGCUUCUACAGGCAAGGCCCUGGCGCUGUGGGUGAAGACCUGGAUAAAGGCGUUGAUCUCUUAAGCAGUUUUGAAAAGGAGCUGGCCAAGCAUGAGAAGAACCGGCAGGAACUGGCCAAUGCGGAGAAGCUCUUUGACCUCCCCAUCACCAUGUACCCUGAGCUCAUCAAAGUGCAGAAGGAGAUGUCAGGGCUCCGGCUCAUCUACGACCUGUAUGAGUCUCUAAAGGUGGCCAAAGAGGAGUGGUCCCAGACCCUCUGGAUCAACCUGAAUGUCCAGUAUCUGCAGGAAGGUAUCGAAGGCUUCCUCAAAGGCCUCCGCAAGCUGCCGCGCCACGUGCGCAACUUAUCCGUGGCUUUCCAUUUGGAAGCAAAGAUGAAGGCGUUCAAGGACUCCAUCCCCCUCCUUCUGGACUUGAAGCACGAGGCCCUGAGAGAGAGACAUUGGAAAGAACUCAUGGAGAAAACAGGUGUGUUCUUUGAGAUGACAGAGACCUUCACACUGGAGAACAUGUUCGCCAUGGAGCUGCACAGCCACACAGAAGUGCUCAAUGAGAUCGUCACAGCGGCUGUCAAGGAGGUGGCCAUUGAGAAGGCCGUGAAGGAGAUCCUAGACACCUGGGAGAACAUGAAGUUCACCGUGGUCAAGUACUACAAAGGCACGCAGGAGCGAGGCUACAUCUUAGGGUCCGUGGACGACGUCAUUCAGUGCUUGGACGACAACACUGUCAACUUGCAGAGCAUCUCCGGGAGCAGAUUCGUGGGGCCUUUCCUGCAGACCGUCCACAAGUGGGAGAAGACACUGUCUCUGAUAGGGGAGGUCAUCGAGAUCUGGAUGCUGGUUCAGAGGAAGUGGAUGUACCUGGAGAGCAUCUUCAUUGGUGGGGACAUACGGUCCCAGCUGCCAGAGGAGGCCAAGAAGUUUGACAACAUCGAUAGGACAUUUAAGAGGAUCAUGGGGGAGACUCUGAAAGACCCGGUGAUCAAGCGAUGCUGUGAGGCCCCAAACCGUCUUCAUGACCUGCAGAACAUCAGUGAUGGCCUGGAGAAAUGCCAGAAGAGCCUGAAUGACUACCUGGACUCCAAGAGGAACGCCUUCCCCAGGUUCUUCUUCAUCUCAGAUGACGAGCUGCUCAGCAUCCUGGGCAACAGUGACCCCCUGUGUGUGCAGGAGCACAUGAUCAAGAUGUACGACAACAUAGCCAUGCUGCGCUUCCACGAUGGAGACAGCGGGGAGAAGCUUGUGUCGGCCAUGAUCUCGGCAGAGGGAGAAGUCAUGAACUUUCGCAAGAUCAUCCGGGCUGAGGGCCGUGUGGAAGACUGGAUGACCGCCGUGCUAAAUGAAAUGAGAAGGACCAACAGGCUCAUCACCAAGGAAGCCAUCUUCAGAUACUGUGAGGACAGAAGCAGGGUGGACUGGAUGCUGCUGUACCAAGGCAUGGUGGUGCUGGCCGCCAGUCAGGUGUGGUGGACUUGGGAAGUGGAGGACGUCUUCAAUAAAGUCAAGCAAGGGGACAAGCAGGCUAUGAAGAACUACGGCAAGAAGAUGCACCAACAGAUUGACGACCUGGUCACACGGAUCACCAUGGAGCUGAGCAAAAACGACAGGAAGAAAUACAACACAGUCCUCAUCAUCGAUGUCCACGCCCGGGACAUUGUGGAUUCCUUCAUCCGGGGCAGCAUCCUCGAGGCCCGGGAGUUUGAGUGGGAAAGCCAGCUGCGCUUUUACUGGGACCGCGAGCCGGAUGAGCUCAACAUCCGUCAGUGCACAGGGACCUUUGGCUAUGGCUAUGAGUACAUGGGCCUGAACGGAAGGCUGGUCAUCACGCCCCUCACAGACCGCAUCUACCUGACGCUCACGCAGGCGCUGUCCAUGUAUCUGGGAGGUGCCCCUGCUGGCCCAGCAGGAACCGGCAAGACAGAGACCACCAAGGACCUUGCCAAAGCCCUGGGCCUGCUGUGUGUUGUGACCAACUGUGGCGAAGGCAUGGAUUACAAAGCUGUCGGGAAGAUCUUCUCUGGCCUCGCCCAGUGUGGCGCAUGGGGCUGCUUCGAUGAGUUCAACCGGAUUGAUGCCUCGGUGCUGUCUGUCAUCUCGUCUCAAAUCCAGACGAUCCGCAAUGCGCUGAUCCACCAGCUGACCACAUUCCAGUUCGAAGGGCAGGAGAUCUCCCUCGACUCUCGGAUGGGCAUCUUCAUCACCAUGAACCCCGGCUACGCAGGCCGCACAGAGCUGCCCGAGUCUGUGAAAGCACUGUUCAGGCCUGUGGUUGUCAUCGUACCCGACCUGCAGCAGAUCUGUGAGAUCAUGCUCUUCUCAGAGGGCUUCUUGUGGGCCAAGACGCUGGCCAAGAAGAUGACAGUCCUGUAUAAGCUGGCCCGGGAGCAGCUGUCCAAGCAGCACCAUUACGACUUUGGGCUCCGGGCCCUGAAGUCCGUGCUGGUCAUGGCUGGGGAGCUGAAGCGAGGCUCUGCAGACCUGCAGGAGGAUGUGGUCCUGAUGCGGGCGCUGCGGGAUAUGAACCUACCCAAGUUUGUGUUUGAGGAUGUACCCCUCUUCCUGGGCCUCAUUUCUGACCUGUUUCCUGGGUUGGACUGCCCCCGUGUGCGCUACCCGGAUUUCAACGAUGCCGUCGAGCAGGUGUUGGAGGAGAAUGGCUACGUGCUUCUGCCUGUCCAGGUGGAUAAAGUGGUCCAGAUGUUCGAAACCAUGCUGACCCGCCACACGACGAUGGUGGUGGGGCCCACAGGAGGCGGCAAGUCUGUGGUCAUCAAUGCUCUGUGUCAGGCCCAGACAAAGCUCGGGAUAAUGACGAAGUUAUACAUCUUGAACCCCAAAGCUGUGAGUGUUAUUGAGUUAUACGGCAUCCUGGACCCCACCACUCGAGACUGGACAGAUGGGGUGCUGUCUAACAUCUUCCGGGAGAUCAACAGGCCGACCGACAAAAAGGAACGGAAGUACAUUUUGUUUGACGGCGACGUGGAUGCCUUGUGGGUGGAAAACAUGAACUCAGUGAUGGACGACAACAAGCUGCUGACCUUGGCCAAUGGGGAGCGCAUCCGUCUCCAGGCACACUGUGCCCUGCUCUUUGAGGUGGGAGACUUGCAGUACGCCUCUCCUGCGACCGUGUCUCGAUGCGGGAUGGUUUACGUGGACCCUAAGAAUUUGAAGUACCAACCAUACUGGAAAAAAUGGCUGCAACAAGAAAUACAAAACAAGGUAGAGCAAAAGUAUUUAAAUGACCUCUUCGAGAAAUACGUGCCCUCGCUCAUCGACAUGAUCAUAGAGGGGAUAGUGGACGGGAGACAGGGAGAGAGGCUCAAGAUGGUGGUUCCUCAGACAGACCUGAACAUGGUAACCCAGUUAACCAAGAUGAUGGAUUCGCUACUAGAAGGGGAAAUCGAGGACCUUGACCUGCUGGAGUGCUUCUUCCUGGAGGCUCUCUACUGCUCACUUGGCGCCUCCCUGCUCGAGGACGGGAGGAUCAAAUUUGACGAGGGCAUCAAACGCCUCUCGUCGAUGCCCACUGCAGACACAGAAGGGGUCUGGGCCCGUCCUGGAGAGCUCCCAGGGCAUCUUCCCACCCUGUACGACUUCCAUUUCGAUCCCAAGCGGAACCAUUGGAUCCCGUGGAGCAAGCUAGUUCCUGAGUAUAUUCACAGCCACGAGAAGAAAUUUGUCGACAUCCUGGUUCAUACAGUGGAUACGACCCGCAUCACCUGGAUACUGGAGCAGAUGGUUCAAAUCAAGCACCCCGUUCUUUUAGUGGGCGAAUCGGGCACUUCUAAGACAGCCACUACCCAGAACUUCCUUAAGAAUCUGAGCGAGGAGACUAACAUUGUGCUGAUGGUCAGCUUCUCCUCACGCACCACAUCCCUGGACAUCCAGAGAAAUUUAGAAGCAAAUGUGGAGAAGCGGACAAAGGACACAUAUGGGCCACCCAUGGGGAAGCGCCUGCUGGUGUUCAUGGAUGACAUGAACAUGCCAAAGGUGGAUGAGUAUGGCACCCAGCAGCCCAUUGCCUUGCUGAAGUUGCUGCUGGAAAAGGGCUUCUUAUACGACCGUGGGAAAGAGCUCAACUGUAAGAGUAUCCGGGACCUGGGCUUCAUUGCUGCCAUGGGGAAGGCAGGAGGGGGCCGCAAUGAAGUGGACCCCAGGUUCCUCUCACUGUUCAGUGUCUUCAACGUCCCUUUCCCGUCAGAGGAGUCUCUGCGCUUGAUCUACUACUCCAUCUUGAAGGGCCACACCUCGAACUUUAAUGAGAGCAUCGGGGGUGUGAGCCGGAAACUGACAUUCUGCACGUUAAUACUUUACAAAAAUAUUGUUCAAGAUCUCCCUCCCACCCCUUCGAAGUUCCAUUACAUCUUCAACCUCCGAGACCUGUCCCGAGUUUUCAAUGGCCUUGUCCUCACUAAUCCAGAUCGGUUUCAGACAGUGACUCAGAUGGUCAGGGUGUGGAGAAAUGAGUGCCUGCGGGUUUUCCAUGACCGGCUCAUCAACGAAGUAGACAAGCAGCUGGUGCAAGAUCACAUAGGGAACCUGGUGAAGGAGUAUUUUAACGAUGACUACGAGGCCGUGAUGAGGGACCCCAUCCUGUUUGGGGACUUCCGGACAGCUCUGCACGAGGAUGAACCACGCGUUUAUGAAGACAUCCAGGACUACGAGGCCGCCAAGGCGCUGUUUGAGGAAAUCCUUGAGGAGUACAACGAAGUCAACACCAAGAUGAACCUGGUGCUGUUCGACGAUGCUCUGGAGCACCUGACACGUGUGCACCGCAUCAUUCGGAUGGACCGCGGCCACGCACUGCUGGUGGGUGUGGGCGGCUCCGGAAAGCAGUCCUUGGCCAGGCUGGCAGCUUACACCGCCGGCUACGAGGUGUUUGAGAUCCUGUUGAGCCGAGGCUACUCCGAGACUAACUUCCGGGAAGAUCUGAAGAGCCUGUACUUGAAGCUAGGGCUGGAGAACAAGAUGAUGAUCUUCCUGUUUACAGAUGCGCACGUGGCUGAGGAGGGCUUCCUGGAACUCAUCAACAACAUGCUGACCUCAGGGAUCGUCCCUGCACUCUUCCCUGAAGAAGAAAAGGACGGCAUCCUCAGUCAGAUCGGGCAGGAAGCCUUGAAGUGUGGCAUGGGCCCGGCCAAGGAGUCUGUGUGGCAAUAUUUCGUGAAUAAAAGUGCCAACAACCUACACAUUGUCCUGGGCAUGUCACCAGUGGGCGACACCCUGAGGACCCGGUGCAGGAAUUUCCCAGGCCUAGUGAACAACACUGGAAUCGACUGGUUCAUGCCCUGGCCACCCCAGGCCCUGCAUGCUGUUGCAAAGUCAUUUUUAGGGGACAAUCACAUGAUUCCCGCAGAGAAUAUCGAAGACCUUGUGGAGCACGUGGUUAUGGUCCACGAGUCGGUGGGUGAGUUCAGCAAGCAGUUCCAGCAGAAGCUGAGGCGCAGCAACUACGUGACGCCUAAGAACUACCUAGAUUUUAUCAACACGUACUCGAAACUGCUAGAUGAGAAAACCCAGUACAACAUAGCACAGUGCAAGCGUCUGGAGGGUGGGCUGGACAAGCUGAAGGAGGCCACCAUCCAGCUAGAUGAGCUCAACCAGAAGCUGGCCGAGCAGAAGAUCGUCCUGGCCGAGAAGUCGGCUGCCUGCGAGGCUCUGCUAGAUGAAAUCGCCACCAACACAGCCAUAGCGGAGGAGAAGAAGAAGCUGGCGGAGGAGAAGGCCAUGGAGAUAGAAGAACAGAACAAGAUCAUCGCUGUAGAGAAGACCGAAGCCGAGACAGCUCUGGCUGAGGUCAUGCCUAUCCUGGAGGCUGCCAAGCUGGAGCUGCAGAAGCUGGACAAGUCGGACGUGACUGAAAUCAGGUCAUUCGCGAAGCCCCCAAAGCAAGUGCAGACAGUCUGCGAGUGUAUCCUUAUCAUGAAAGGCUACAAGGAGCUUAACUGGAAAACUGCUAAGGGCAUGAUGUCUGACCCCAACUUCCUGAGGUCCCUGAUGGAGAUCGACUUCGACUCCAUCACCCAGAGUCAAGUGAAGAACAUCAAAGGCCUCCUGAAAACUCUCAACACCACAAUUGAAGAAAUGGAGGCUGUGAGCAAGGCAGGGCUGGGGAUGCUGAAGUUCGUGGAGGCUGUCAUGGGCUACUGUGACGUGUUCCGCGAGAUCAAGCCCAAAAGAGACAAGGUGGCCAGGCUGGAGCGGAAUUUCUACCUAACCAAACGGGAGCUAGAAAAGAUCCAGAACGAGCUGUCAGCGAUCCAGAGGGAGCUGGAGGCUCUGGGGGCCAAAUAUGAGGCUGCCAUCCUGGAGAAGCAGAAGCUGCAGGAGGAGGCAGAGAUUAUGGAGAGGCGGCUGAUCGCGGCCGACAAGCUCAUCUCUGGUCUGGGGUCAGAAAAUGUCAGGUGGCUCAACGACCUGGAUGAGCUGAUGCACCGGCGGGUGAAGCUGUUGGGCGACUGCCUACUCUGCGCGGCCUUCUUGAGCUACGAGGGCGCCUUCACCUGGGAGUUUCGGGAUGAGAUGGUCAACCAGGUGUGGCGGAAUGAUAUCCUGGAUCGAGACAUCCCCCUGAGCCAGCCUUUCCGAUUGGAGAACCUCCUCACAGAUGACGUGGAGAUCAGCAGGUGGGGUUCUCAGGGCCUUCCACCCGAUGAGCUCUCGGUUCAGAAUGGCAUCCUUACCACCCGGGCCAGCCGCUUCCCGCUCUGCAUCGACCCCCAGCAGCAGGCCCUCAACUGGAUCAAGAGAAAGGAGGAGAAAAACAACCUAAGGGUUGCCUCCUUCAAUGACCCUGACUUCCUCAAGCAGCUGGAGAUGUCCAUAAAGUACGGGACCCCUUUCCUGUUCCACGAUGUGGAUGAGUACAUCGACCCUGUGAUUGACAGUGUCCUGGAGAAGAACAUCAAGACUGCCCAAGGCCGCCAGUUCAUCAUCCUGGGGGACAAAGAGGUUGACUAUGAUUCCAACUUCAGGCUGUACCUCAACACCAAGCUGGCCAAUCCCAGAUACUCGCCAUCGGUGUUUGGGAAGGCCAUGGUCAUCAACUACACUGUCACGCUGAAGGGCCUGGAGGACCAGCUGCUGAGUGUGCUAGUGGCCUAUGAGAGGCGGGAGCUGGAGGAGCAGAGGGAGCACCUCAUCCAGGAGACAAGCGAGAAUAAGAACCUGCUAAAGGACCUGGAGGACUCACUCCUGCGCGAGCUGGCCACAUCCACGGGGAACAUGCUGGACAAUGUGGAGCUGGUGCACACCCUGGAAGAGACCAAGUCCAAAGCCACAGAGGUAUCAGAGAAGCUGAAGUUGGCAGAGAAGACAGCCCUGGACAUCGACAGACUGCGGGAUGGCUACCGGCCGGCGGCGAGGCGGGGCGCCAUCCUGUUCUUUGUGCUGUCCGAGAUGGCACUUGUCAACUCCAUGUACCAGUACUCCCUCAUCGCCUUCCUGGAGGUCUUCGGGCUGUCGCUGAAGAAAUCGCUGCCUGAUUCCAUCCUCAUAAAGCGGCUGAAGAACAUCAUGGACACACUGACCUUUAACAUCUACAACUAUGGCUGCACGGGGCUGUUCGAGAGGCAUAAGCUCCUCUUCUCCUUCAACAUGACCAUCAAGAUAGAGCAGGCGGAGGGGAGGGUCCCCCAGGAGGAGCUGGACUUCUUCCUAAAAGGGAACAUUUCCCUGGAGAAGAGCAAACGGAAGAAGCCGUGUACCUGGCUGUCAGACCAGGGCUGGGAAGACAUCAUUCUCCUCUCAGAGGUGUUUUCAGAGGUCUUUGGGCAGCUCCCUGACGAUAUCGAGCACCACGUUUCCACCUGGCAGGAGUGGUAUGACCUGGAUUCGCUAGAGCAGUUCCCGUUCCCCCUGGGCUACGAUGACUACAUCACUGCCUUCCAGAAACUGCUUAUUUUACGCUGCUUCCGGGUAGACCGGGUAUACCGUGCAGUGACUGACUACGUGACCCUCACCAUGGGAGAGAAGUACGUUCAGCCCCCGAUGAUCAGCUUUGAGGCCAUUUUCGAGCAGAGCACCCCCAAUUCGCCCAUUGUAUUCAUCCUGAGUCCUGGCUCUGACCCUGCCAGUGACCUCAUGAAGCUGGCUGAGCGGAGUGGCUUUGGGGGCAAUCGCCUCAAGUUUCUUGCAAUGGGUCAAGGCCAAGAAAAGGUGGCACUGCAGCUGCUGGAGACAGCAGUGGCUCGCGGACAGUGGCUCAUGUUGCAGAACUGCCACCUUCUGGUCAAGUGGCUGAAGGACCUAGAGAAGUCCCUGGAGAGGAUCACCAAGCCACACCCCGACUUCCGCCUGUGGCUCACCACAGACCCCACCAAGGGCUUCCCCAUUGGAAUCCUGCAGAAGUCCUUAAAGGUGGUCACGGAGCCGCCUAACGGGCUCAAACUGAACAUGCGAGCAACCUACUUCAAGAUCUCCCAUGAGAUGCUGGAGCAGUGUCCACACAGCGCCUUCAAGCCCCUGGUCUAUGUGCUGGCAUUCUUCCAUGCUGUGGUACAAGAGAGGAGGAAGUUUGGCAAGAUCGGCUGGAAUGUGUACUAUGAUUUCAACGAGUCCGACUUCCAGGUCUGCAUGGAAAUCCUAAAUACAUACCUAACGAAAGCCUUCCAGCAGCGUGACCCACGCAUCCCGUGGGGCAGCCUCAAGUACCUGAUUGGAGAGGUCAUGUACGGAGGCCGGGCCAUCGACAGCUUCGACCGGCGCAUCCUCACCACGUACAUGGACGAGUACCUGGGAGACUUCAUUUUCGAUACUUUUCAACCAUUCCACUUCUUCCGGAACAAGGAAGUGGAUUACAAAAUCCCUGUGGGUGACGAGAAGGAUAAAUUUGUUGAAGCCAUUGAGGCCCUCCCACUGGCCAACACGCCGGAAGUGUUCGGUCUCCACUCCAAUGCUGAGAUAGGCUAUUACACACAGGCAGCUCGGGAUAUGUGGGAGCAUCUGCUGGAGCUACAGCCACAGACAGGGGAAUCCAGCAGUGGCAUCAGCCGUGACGACUACAUUGGCCAGGUGGCCAAGGACAUUGAGAACAAGAUGCCCAAGAUCUUUGACCUGGACCAGGUCCGGAAGCACCUGGGUUUUAACAUCUCACCUACCUCAGUGGUGCUGCUGCAGGAGCUGGGGCGCUUCAACAAGCUCGCCAUCCGCAUGACCAGGUCUCUGGCUGAGCUCCAAAGAGCCUUGGCUGGCGAAGUUGGGAUGAGCAAUGAGUUAGAUGACGUAGCCAGGUCUCUCUUCCUCGGGCACAUCCCUCACAUCUGGAGGAAGCUUGCCCCGGACACCCUGAAGACCCUUGGAAACUGGAUGGUCUACUUCCUGCGGCGGUACAGCCAGUACACACUGUGGGUCACCGAGAGUGAGCCUAGUGUGAUGUGGCUCUCAGGGCUGCACAUCCCAGAGUCCUACCUCACAGCACUGGUACAGGCCACGUGCCGGAGAAAUGGCUGGCCGCUGGACCGGUCCACCUUGUUCACACAAGUGACCAAGUUCCAGGACGCUGAUGAAGUGAAUGAGCGAGCAGGGCAAGGGUGCUUUGUUUCAGGGCUCUACCUGGAGGGCGCUGACUGGGAUAUAGAGAGUGGGUGUCUUAUCAAGAGUAAGCCCAAGGUGCUGGUUGUGGACCUGCCCAUCCUGAAGAUCAUCCCCAUUGAAGCUCACCGUCUGAAGCUACAGAACACCUUCCGGACCCCCGUCUAUACCACCUCCAUGAGGAGAAAUGCCAUGGGUGUCGGCCUAGUGUUCGAAGCUGACCUCUUUACCACGAAGCACAUCUCACACUGGGUGCUCCAGGGGGUGUGCCUCACCCUGAACUCAGAUUAACCCCAGCAUCAGCAUGUGGAGGACUACACGGAGCUACUAUGCCUGGCACACAGGAUGAAAUUGAAGCUCAAUUAUACAGUGUGAGGAACAGAAAGAUGCUGAUCCUGAUGUCCAGAAAAGCCAGAGUGAGACCAAUUAGGCCUAUGUUCCUGAUCCACCCAUUUUACAUCCUGCUGUUUGGGAGUAAAACGAGAUUGUAGUUACAGUCAAGGAUAUACAUCUGGAUCGACCUGCCACACAAGAGUUCCCAAUUGCUCAAAAAUUUUCUUAUGUUGGGUAUGGUAAAGGAAUUCCUGUAUGUUUUGCAAAGAAUAUUGCUUUAGAAGUAUGUCUUGGAGUAUUUCCAAAAUUAAUUACGGGACAUAAUAAACAAUGUACUUAUUUUACAAAGUGAUUGCUUCCUCAAGGUCAUUGGGUAAAUGAUACUUCACCCCUUCAAAGAUUUCCUCCAUACACGAAGUAACCAAGAGGGCCUAAUAGAACUUUGUAGUGGAGAUGAAGUAUUGGCAUUAUUCCAUUCAAGUACAACAUCACAGUGAUAUCACAGUACAUUCUUGACUGGUCUAGAAAUCAAGAAGAUCAUUUGACUACAGCAGAAUCUUGGGACCAACAACUGCCAGCUGGAAUUUGGUAUUCCAGUAUAAAAUUUCCACAGACUUUAGAAACUUGCUGCUGCCAUGGGAAAAGUAGCAGGACAAUCCAGUUCUUCAAAACCUGUUUGCCCCCUAAAACUGUUUGGCUUGUGUCAAAAUGCCUUAUGUUCUUUUGGUGGGAGAUAAAAAUCUUUAUGAAUGGUAUUGUAUCAAUGUAUCAUGCCCUGAUUGUAUUCUGACUAAUUGUAUUUCUCAAGUGGAUAUUCAUACCUGUGAACUGGUGUUAAAAUAACCUUCUUUUGCAAUGUGCCAGCACAAAUAAUUGAACAAAUUAAGAAAGCUUUAAGUAGACAGAAACGUGCUGCUGGAUUAGUUGCAGCAGGAAUUUCUGCUCCUGUUGUUAUGCUGACUACUGCAGUGGCUUCAGUGGCUUUGUCCCAGUCUAUUCAAAUGCAGGAUUUGUUAAUCAUCUAGGAAUGUUUCUAGGACACUGGAGACACAGAAGACAUAGAUGUAAAAAUGGGACAGAAAUUGAACGCCUUGUAUGAUGUGGUACAAUCCUUAGGGGAUGAACUCCAAAGCUUAAAAACCAGAGUCCAGCUGAAAUGUCAUGCUAACUAUGAGUGGACUUGUGUUACAUCUUUUGUGUAUAAUAAAAGUGUUAUCAGUUGGGAAAGAGUUAAAGCACAUCUUAAGGGAAUUUGGCAUGCUUCUAAUGAGUCCUUAGAGUUGGCUAAAUUACAUCAAGAGAAUUUUGGAAUUAAAAAAUGCAAAAAUGGAUUUGAUGCAUCAAAAGCAGUUGAAGAUAUUUUGGAACAAUUUAAAAAGACUGUUCCACCAUGUCAGCAUUUACUUCACUUCUUAGCAGUACUGCAGUUGUUGGAGCUUGUGUUCUUUUGGGCAUAAUUUGUUUACCUAUAGUUUUCAAGCUUAUUAUGAACUCACUGUGGAAAGUGGGCUUGGAGCUUCAUGGAGUAAAACUCCGCACACUUCCCUAAAAACUUGACACCAGAGACUUGCAGUUAGAGAUGGGUGAGUUUUCUUUGCCUCUUUUCGACCUAAGAUAGGAGAUGGAUCUCUAAGGUCCAUUUUCCUAUGACAGAUAAGACUAGGGUGCAGUAAGGAAUCCCCAAGGCAGACACAGUCUUCUGAGGGACUCUGAGAGGUCCUUAAAAUAUAAUAAAAAGAGGGGAAUUGUGGGAGCCCAUGUGUGACUCAGUUUCCAUCUGGAGUCAUUUCUGACUUAAAGAAGUCAUUUGAGUUCAAGCUUGCCUGCUCUGAUUUUUCCUAUAACCUUGAGGGCUAUGAGAGAUUUCUGAUUUAGCCUUUGAGAAAAGAACACUCUAUCUAGUAUAUACUGCUGACGACAAACCUCAGGAAUAUCAAGAUAGAAAGUGAGGCUGCUUCUGGGCAGCAAGCACAUGUUGGAGAGGAGGCUGCUCACUCAAGGACAGGAAUGGUCUUGUGGU